rnacentral:tRNA from 1 species
GGCUUUAUAGUUUAAGUUAAAAUAUUAGAUUGCAAAUCUAGUGAUACAUUAUGUUAAAGCUU